GAAAUUUUCAUGAAUGACAUAGUAAAUAAGGUGAUGAAAUAAAAAAAAAAAAAAAAAAGGCCAAAUAAAAUUUUCAUGAAUGACAUAGUAAAUAAGGUGAUGAAAAAAAAAAAAAAAAAAAAAAAGGCCAAAUACAUUGCUAGCCCUUUAGAGUUAUUUUUCACUUAGACACUCCAUUUUGAGUUUUUUUUUCUUCAAUUGAAUACUCCAACCACAUCCCAAAUGUGUCAUUUAGACACGAUUUGAUGAUUUGGUAUAGUGCGUGCAUUACACCAUUAUUUGGUGUAUUUAGUAUGUCUUGUUCGAUUCCAGAAGACCUUGAUAGCUUGUUAUGGUGGGUGUAAUUUCUGGCAAUCUGGGAUUAAUCCUCUGUGACGAAGAAUUUAUUAGAAUUUCUAUCUUAUGCAUGUUCUUAAUAUUGUAGAGGGUUGACGGUGGAGAUUAGGAAGAAUAAGAGUGGUGGCAGAAGAGUGGAUUUGUACCUCUGUUCUUUCUUUUGGAAGAAGAAAACGGAAGGAAGGAGGGAAGG
rnacentral:lncRNA from 1 species